ensembl:antisense
AGUUCGAAGCUUAUUGGCUUGGUCCAGCAGCUCCUGCCGCUUUUCUCCCAGAAGCCUGCAGAGGAGCUUGCGGAAGGAUUCGUCAGCUAUCUGGGUGUCCACGAAAAGGAAAGACGUGGUCUGGAGUUCUACCCCUGCCUGUCGAUACAAGCGCUUGAUAUCUGGCCAAACAAGUGAAGGGCGAAGGAAAAGACUUACUUGCGACUCCCCAUCCUGAGCCUCUCAGUUGGAGGACCCUCCCACAGCCAUAAGCACUCCCAGAACACAAAGGCCAGGGCCAGUAACUCAAGCAGCUUAUCUUUCAUCCUGAAACCUCUGCGCAUGGUCAGGAACCCAGCCUUACCGUCUCGGAACUCCUGUUUGCGGUAGUGCUUGGUGACCUCGAUCUGGAACGUGUUAUAAUCGCAGAUGGAAGACGCCAAGCGGGCCAGACUCUGCCUCCCGCUGCCCCCGAUCCCCACCAGCAGCAUGUUGCCUCGGGGCUGUCCGAUCACACGCACGAUCCGAGUGACUGGGGAGCGGGGUGAGGGUAACGCACUGGGUUUAUAAAUCCAAGCAAUUUCCAGGCCCCGGGCUAGGGAUCAAAACCUCUGAGGCUGAAUUAGAGAAGUCAAGAAGUAAGAGUGGAGAGGGUGGUGCCUAAGGCUCUGAUGGCAACUCAGCACUUAACCUACACCUUGCCCAUUUAACACUCUUGUGGAUAGGUGUGGCACUGUAGGCCUGUAAUCUCAGGGAAAGGCAGAGGGUCACAAGUUUAAGACCGGUUUGCUUUAACGGGCGAUAUGCAUGCUAUGCUGGCCAGGGCUACACAGCAAGACCCUGUCUCAAAACCAAAUGAAUAAAUAAAUAAGCCACACUGGUUGG